AACCGCGGUUAAGUAUCCCCGCCCUGUGUAGUACGAUCGCAAAGAUUAAAACAUAAAGGGAAUUGACGGGGGCCCCGCACAAGGCGGUGGAUCAUGUUCUUUAAUUCGAGGUUAAACCGAUAAACCUUACCAGGGCUUGACAUCUAGGGAAGGCUUCCGAAAGGAAACUGUGCUUUUAGAACCCUAUGACAGGUGAUGCAUGGCCGUCGUCAGCUCGUGUCCGUGAGAUGUUUGGUUAAGUCCAUCAACGAGCGCAACCCUUGUUAGUAGUUGUAUUUUUCUACUAAGACUGCUUCGGUAACGGAGAGGAAGGAGGGGAUGAUGUCAGGUCAGUAUUUCCCUUACGUCCUGGGCUAGAAACGUGAUACAAUGGCAAGUACAAUGCGCAGCGAAGCCGUGAGGUGAAGCUAAUCGCACCAAAGCUUGUCCCAGUUCGGAUUGGAGGCUGAAACUCGCCUCCAUGAAGUCGGAAUCGCUAGUAAUCGCAGAUCAGCAUGUUGCGGUGAAUACGUUCCCGGGUCUUGUACACACCGCCCGUCAAACCAUGAGAGUCACCAACACCCGAAGUCCGUUUCGGCGGCCUAAGGUGGGGGAGAUGAUUGGGGUUAAGUCGUAACAAGGUAACCGUA
rnacentral:rRNA from 1 species